ensembl:lncRNA
CCUGGGUGCAUGUUGUUUGCCUGGGCUCGGUGAGGGAACACAGAAUCCAUCUUCACACGGACUACUGCUGCCACACUGAUCAGGUCACAAACAAAUGAGGAUAAUACCGACUCCUUGCACCCCGACACAGCACAGGAAGGGAAGGAAGGAGGCCGGGCGGACCUGCUCAGGAUGACUGAAGGGGGCCCACAUGAGGAUCGUGGUGUGUGAGCCUCCAUGUUCCCCCUGUGAUGAUAAACGGCUGCUGAUUCCAUGAUUCCAAUUUGUAAUUUUCUGAGUGCAGAGGUAGGACUGGGACAAUUGAUCAAAUUGAGCAGCAACUUGAGCACCCCUCUUUCUCUCCCUCUCUCUUUCUUCUUCCCUGCCCAAAUACCCUCUUUAAAUAUUUAACUAGAUUUAUGAAUGGUCACCGUCUCCCAUCUAUUUAUACCUCUUAUAUUGACAGGAAAUACAUUCAUGGGCAGUCAGGAAGAGGAAUUACAUUUGGGUUUCCUGGAGUGCAACUACAGGUAGAAAAAACAUCUGCUGAAAGACUCAUCAGUCCAACACCAACAUUCCAAACGCAGGUGACUGCUUUCCUGAUUCCUCAGGUUGUUAUUGUUUUCUGAAACGAGUCGUGGUUUUGAUGAACAUAGCUGACAGGUUUGUUUCGAUCUGACGUAAUUGAAUAUGGUCUCGCAACACAUGAGUCAUGACAUCUGCAUUGCAUUUUCAACUUGUUUCCUAUACAGGCAGAGUACGUGCAUGCGUACGUGGGCGCGUGUUUGUUCAUGCUGGUGUGAGGUCAACAACUAUAGUGACUGGAGGUUAGACACAACAUAGGAUCUUCGGUAGGAGAGUUAUAUAUGUACCAGGGCAGCGCUGGCCAGGACACUGCUACCAAAGGGGUGACUUUAAUUCACUGAUGCGUGGCGUAGGAUGGGUGAGCAGGCACUAAAACCCAGACAUUUCCAUGGGGUGGAUUUAUUGGGAGUGAACCUGCUCAUUUCCUGCCAUCAUUAGCUGAUUAGGUGGCUGAUGGCGGAGUAGAACCUUUCAGCUUGAGUGAUCAUGAGGAGUCAGCCAGCUCACAGUCAAAAUAACUUGUUGUUUUUCCCUCAAUGGGAAAAUGUGACUACGUAGUUAGUAAUGCGUAAAAAGUGACUAUCAUAUGGGCGUUUGCAAACUGUUCAAUGUUUAUUUGCAAAUGGCUAUAUUUGUGUGAAAAUAGCAAUGUGUAAAAUCUCCUCAAAAUUCCAGAACAAUUCCGAACAUCACAGACUCUAGUUUAACAAACCUAAUGCUGUUACGCCCUGGCCAUAGAGAGGUUUUUAUUCUCUAUUUUGGUUAGGCCAGGGUGUGACUAGGGUUGGCCUUCUAUGUUCUUUUUUCUAUGUUUUUGUAUUUCUUUGUUUUGGCCGGGUAGGGUUCUCAAUCAGGGACAGCUGUCUAUUGUUGUCUCUGAUUGGGAACCAUACUUAGGUAGCUUUUCCCCACAGGGUUUUUGUGGGUAGUUGUUUUCUGUUUUGUGUCUUUCUGCACCAGACAGAACUGUUUCGUUCGUUCUCUUCGUUGUUUUUUUUUUGUUAAUCAAUGUUCAGUUCAAAUAAUAAAGAUGAACACGUACCACGC